rnacentral:rRNA from 1 species
GAUGAACGCUGGCGGCGUGCCUAAUACAUGCAAGUCGAGCGAACAGACGAGGAGCUUGCUCCUCUGACGUUAGCGGCGGACGGGUGAGUAACACGUGGAUAACCUACCUAUAAGACUGGGAUAACUUCGGGAAACCGGAGCUAAUACCGGAUAAUAUAUUGAACCGCAUGGUUCAAUAGUGAAAGACGGUUUUGCUGUCACUUAUAGAUGGAUCCGCGCCGCAUUAGCUAGUUGGUAAGGUAACGGCUUACCAAGGCUACGAUGCGUAGCCGACCUGAGAGGGUGAUCGGCCACACUGGAACUGAGACACGGUCCAGACUCCUACGGGAGGCAGCAGUAGGGAAUCUUCCGCAAAGGGCGAAAGCCUGACGGAGCAACGCCGCGUGAGUGAUGAAGGUCUUCGGAUCGUAAAACUCUGUUAUUAGGGAAGAACAAAUGUGUAAGUAACUAUGCACGUCUUGACGGUACCUAAUCAGAAAGCCACGGCUAACUACGUG